AAGUCGUAACAAGGUUUCCGUAGGUGAACCUGCGGAAGGAUCAUUAACACGUAUCCAACGUUAAAACAACCGUGAACUUUCAGCUUGCUCCUGUAGCCCGUGAAAACAGCAAUCCCUGGUAAAUCAUUGUUGACCAGCUUUUGAGUCAGGGACCUCUGCCGAUUGUGAUAUUUUAUAGCUACGGUUGAGCGAUUGCAUCUAGUGAUGUUCGGUUUUUGGUGCCGUGCGAAUUUCACGCGCGGCCAAUUCGUACUGUGUUGUCGUAAAGGGGCCGGCCUUGUGGGCCUACAGCGAUCGUGACUGCGCCAUCCUGACAUAAUCAAUGACACUUUCAGACACUGAUUACCUGGGUAUGCCAGGUCAAUGGAUAUCUUGGUUCUC
rnacentral:misc_RNA from 1 species